rnacentral:rRNA from 1 species
GCGCAACCCUGAUCCAGCAAUGCCAUGUGUGUGAAGAAGGCCCUAGGGUUGUAAACCACUUUAGUUGUGGAGGAAAUCCACAAUGUUAAUAGCCUUGGGGGAGGACUUUACCCAAAGAAUAAGCACCGGCUAACUCCGUGCCAGCAGCCGCGGAAAUACUGGUGGUGCAAGAGGUAAUCGGAAUUACUGGGCGUAAAGGGUCUGUAGGUGGAUUGUUAAGUCAUAUGUGAAAGCCCAGGG